GCCUGGCAGUUCCCUACUCUCGCAUGGGGAGACCCCACACUACCAUCGGCGCUACGGCGUUUCACUUCUGAGUUCGGCAUGGGGUCAGGUGGGACCACCGCGCUAAGGCCGCCAGG
rnacentral:rRNA from 1 species